AACAUUCUGGGCAGAGGUUCGGGUCUGGGAUGGCCUUUACAGGAGCCCAGCAACGCUGCUGAUGUCCCUUGGGAGGGGGCUACUGCGGCCCCCUGCUCCUGGUUAGCUCGUGGAUCUGCCUGCCCCAGACCCGGAAGGACCUGUCUUCAUCAUGACACGGCCCCUCCGCCAUCUGCUCUCUAGACACGCCUGUCCAGCCUGCUCACAAACCAAGUGAAAUCUCUUAACACCGACCAUUGCCCUGGAAGAGAAUCUAGAAAUGAGAUGUACACUGCAGUACACUAUCCCUUGGUCUUGUUCAAUAUCAGGUUUUUGCUCCCAUUUCUAGCUCUCCUCGACCUCAUUAGUCAUCAGGUGCACCAUCGCUGGAAAUCUGGUCUUUAUGGUUAAAAACGAUGGCUGCUUCCAUUUAAAUCACAAUACAGUGUUCUACUCAGAUCCUACAAAAAGCCAAGCUACCCUCUCCAGAGUUUGAACAAUAAAAGGUCUCGCUUAUUUAUUCUCA